CCUACGGGUGGCUGCAGUGGGGAAUAUUGCUCAAUGGGGGAAAGCCUGAAGCAGCAACGCCGCGUGGAGGAUGAAGGUUUUCGGGUUGUAAACUCCUUUUGUGCGGGAAGAUAAUGACGGUAUCUAACGAAUAAGCACCUGCUAACUCCGUGCCAGCAGCCGCGGUAAUACGGAGGGUGCAAGCGUUACUCGGAAUCACUGGGCGUAAAGAGCGCGUAGGCGGGAUAGCAAGUCAGAUGUGAAAUCCUAUGGCUUAACCAGAGAACUGCAUUUGAAACUGUUAUUCUAGAGUAUGGGAGAGGUAGGUGGAAUUCUUGGUGUAGCGGUGAAAUCCGUAGAGAUCAAGAGGAAUACUCAUUGCGAAGGCGACCUGCUAGAACAUAACUGACGCUGAUGCGCGAAAGCGUGGGGAGCAAACAGGAUUAGAUACCCGUGUAGUC
rnacentral:rRNA from 1 species